GAGGAGGCAAACCGACGGUCAGAUGGAAACACUGAAGAGAGACUCGGACUCGGGAGGACAAAAAGCAGCACUAUUGGUCCAAAUGAGGAUGAGGCGUUACGGCGGGGAAAAGGAAUCACUUGUCAGGUCACAUUAAAUGCCAUGCAAGUGAUUCCCAAGCAAUAGGGACCUGAGAUGCACUGCUUUCAUCUGGAACUGGACUCAUUCAUUAAACUAAGUUUAACAACACAGAGCUGCAGGAUAACAGAGGACGCAUAACUAUAUACAUACAUACAGUUCCACUGGAAUACCGCGUGUCUUUAUUAGCUAAAAUUUACAUGCUGUUCUUGUUGCUGUUGCACUUGUUGCAUUUUAAAGCCGCUGAUCUGCAAUGCGCAUGCGCAUCUUCGCGCCCCCUGGUGGAAGCUCGACCUUGAACAUAAUGAGGCUUCAGAGUGUUGGUGGACAUCCAUCUUCCUUAAUUACAGCAUGCACCAUGCCUCCUACACUCCUCCACUCCAGCCAGCAGAGGCAGGAGGGUGUAUGAGGUCACCACACCAACAACAUCAUCACAGCCCUUUUCCAAACACAGAAUUUGGUAUUGGACUUUUUUUCAGGUUUCUUUUGCCAAGAAGUACUGUAGAGCUCAUGAAAAUUUUUGGAUGCAAUAUUUUCCUAAGAAUCUCAUGCUCAGGCCAUGGAAAUCUCCUGAAGACAGGCAGUGAAAUUUGUAAUAUUAACCUAGACCAGCUGUCUUACAAUGAAAAUUGAAUCACUUUAAAGAUGAAAAC